rnacentral:lncRNA from 1 species
GUGGCUCACGCCUGUAAUCCCAGCACUUUGGGAGGCUGAGGUGGGUGGAUCACUUGAGGUCAGGAUUUCCAGACCAGUCUGACCAACAUGUCAUAUAAUCAUCCAUAUAUUUCACAUAAGGGACUUGAGCAUUAUGGGUUUUGGUAUCCAUGGGGGGAUGUUGGAACCAAUCCCCCACAGAUACUGAGAGAUAACUGUAUAUGUUUUAUUAUGUUAGAAAAGUUACCAUCUAUUCCAACUUUGACCAAUAAUGCAUGUAGAAUAUUAU